rnacentral:tRNA from 1 species
AGGGAGACCUACCCAACUUGAGAACCGAAAGCAAACAGCAAAUAAGUAUCAAGAUGGUCUACUCGAGGUCGGUCGCAGAGAAGUUGAGAAAAGCUUUCAAACUAUGAUUUGGUUUGGUUCGAGAAUGGGCUAUUAGCUCAGGUGGUUAGAGCGCACCCCUGAUAAGGGUGAGGUCCCUGGUUCGAGUCCAGGAUGGCCCACCUGAAAACAGUGAACAGUCAAAAGUAAACAGGAGUCAGAAAAGACUGAUAACUGGUAACGAAUAACUGAUAACUGAAUUCUGGGGGUUUAGCUCAGUUGGUAGAGCGCCUGCUUUGCAAGCAGGAUGUCAGCGGUUCGAGUCCGCUAACCUCCACCUGAAAAAAAAGAAUGGAGAUAUCAGCACCUAACGCCUGAACGCCUGAAGAGAAGGGAGAAGUUAGAAUGCUGGGUUGAAUCCAGCCAGAACCUUGAAAACUGCAUAGAAACGCGAAAAAGAAGCAGGCAGACACAGACA